ensembl:lncRNA
AAGCAAACUACCCUCCACUUCACUGAAUCCUAAAUUGCUAAAAUACGUAGUCAUGUUGAAAAUAAGUUUAGAAAAUUCAAGUGGUUUUGUGAUAUAUGCUAUAUUAGUUUGGGUAGAAGCUAAGCUGCUGUGACAGACACAAACAAAAAAGAUGCAGUGAAUUAAAAAAAAAGAGAUCCUUUAUUUCUCAAUCAUGUAAUAGCCAGAGAUAAGUUGCUUAGAGCUGGAUCUGAGGCUUUGUGUCCACACAUUUUGCUUGGUUCUUGUCUGAUGUCUGCCAGACCAAGACGCGCCAUAGGCAAAUCUGAUGGAGAAGACAGAAUAUCACCCAGCAAUCCUAACUUUGUGCUGCAUGAAGAAACAGGAUGAAAGUUCGAGUUGUCUUUUUGAGGGGAGAGGGAGACUUGUAUUAAUAGAAAGAAGAGAGUGUGUGGAGUUUGGGGAAGAGGGAAGGACAGGGGGCAGACUGAGGCAGCCUUCUCUCCUUCUGUUUAGUAACGGCAUCCCCAACCUUUCCCUGGGCACAUGUAUCCCCUCACAUCUGCAGGCUAUACACUAUCCCCUCAGGCUCUCUUCCAGUCUCGUGAGGCCAUUUGACUAAGUUCAAACCCGUGAGAUAUGAAAGAAUCUGAGGUGUGCCAUUUCCAGGUCAUCUCUACAGAUGCUGACUCUGCGCUUUCUCCUUUCUGUUGCCUAGAAAAUGAUGACAACUGGAGAAACCUUGGAAACCAUAAGUUGAAGACAAACGAGCCACCCCUAGCCCUGCAAUGCUCUUUUGGAGUGUUUAUUUAUGUAGGAACCUUGUGACAGUUUUUAAAACAUGACAUAAAGAAGUGGAGUAUAUGUGCACUCCCUUUCAAGGACUUGGGACUUCAAGUAUGUGGUAGGAAGUAUGGCAAAAAUGACCCUAUGUAACUUCCAAGGCUUGCCCAGAAGAGGCCAUGUGACUUCCACCUGGUUCUCUCAGAAUGCUCAGUCCCAGGAUGCCUGUUGGAACCCAGCUGCCCUGCUGCGUUAGACCCAAGCCCCAUGGAGAGGCUGUGUGUACUGCCAGGUUGAUAGCCCCAGCUGAGCACAGCCUUGAAGUCCUCCCAGACCAGGUACAGACAUGGCAGCAAAGAAGCUUCCAGACAAUCCUGCCUGUCAUCAUUUGAAUCUCCUUCAGACCUUCACAUCUUCCAAGGUGGGGCCCCAAACAUCUGGGGCCAAAGCAAGCCAUCUUUGCUCUGUCCUAUCCCAAUUCCUAACCCACAGUAUCUAUGAGUGUAGUGAAGUGCUCUAAGUAUUUUGGGGUGUUCUUAUUAAAGCAACCUCGCCUGUGCCCAAAAUAACACAAAUGCCAUAUUAAAAAUUAUUUAAGUAAUUAAUGUGUCAAACCAAAACAAGACUAUUCUAAGGACCCAACACAAUCUUGAAUGUUAAUUAGUUAUGUCAGAUACAACCGUUUUCCUGUACUUAAGUAACCAGUACGUUAGGGAAAUUCUGUCAAAAACUGUUAAGAUUUCUAGAGAAAAAUGGAGACUGCUCUGAAAUUUACCCUCCGAUAUUGUAUCAUGGGAGUUUGUCUGAUGUGUUGCGCUGAUGCCAUUCAUACCUGUAUCUUCUUUCCUUUCCUUGAUAACGCUGUUCGGAGGUCUCAGGGUGAAUUAAGUUUAAGUCUAGUUUAUGAUGUAUACCUACCUAAUAAAUUUGUGAUUGAAAACUUUCCUGUUAAUCUUUAUCUCGAGCUGGUACAUAUUUUUACAGUCAUUAAAUAAUUAACCUCUUGCCUCUGAGUUUUCCUUUGAUUUUGUGGGUAUAUAUAGACGUUGAUAGCACUUGUAGUGACAAGGUCCACAGUAACUAUGCAUUCCAAUUCCGUAACCUCAGAAGUUCCUCUUUAGAGGGAGUGACUUUUUAGAGGGAAGUCCCAGUAAAUGGUGGAUUGAGGAUGAAAAAUCCAAUGGCCAUACUUUCUCAUAUUUGGAGAUCCAACAGCCCAGUGAGCGUCUCUCAUGUGUGGAGGAAGCCCUUCAAUGCAGAGUGAGGCUCGAGGGAGAUACCCAGAAAGACAAGAGGGUAAGUGACCCUGAGACAGACGAAAGGAAAAGAAAGUAAAGGAUCUACUGGGGCAAAACCAGGGCAGCAAAGGUAGCCUGUGUGCCAGCUGCCCUUGAGGGCAGAGCUGUCCAGUUGGAAUACCUUCAGCCUUCAAUAGUGAUUCCUAAGAUAAGAUCUUUUUUGAUCUAUUGUGGAUGAUGACAAUCAAAUCCUCUCCUUCUUUUUGGUGAAAAGACUGAGACACUAAUGACAAGGACAAAAUAUCCUUACGGAGCCAUGUAGCAACAAUAUCAGUAUGUUUUCAAACUGGCCAAAUCCCUUAGCUGCAAAACAUCUCAUCAUUGUUAUUAACCUUAGACUUGCUCACUCUCUCUCUGAGUCCUUACCCUCUCUUCACUCGGUUUCAGUGUAAACCAAAAUAAUUGUAGGAUGCACUUAAAAGUGGGCCUUUUAAAGAUUUCUCUAAAGCAGUGUCUCAGUCCUCUCAAAAGAUAGUUUAAAUCUUUGGCCAACCACUUUCUAUGUUUUUUUCCUCCCCACCGCGGGAUAUAUAUUUAAAAUAACUUUUGUUUACAAAAUUGUAUCUUAGCAACAAUGACACAGCACAAGAGUGUGUUAUCUAAAGCAAACCAAUUCUGGCCAUAAACCAUAUAAGCAAGGCUGCUAAAUGUGAUUGGUUUGGCUCUCCUGUGAUACCGCGAGCCUAAGGUGUUACAUGAAAUUAAAGGCAUAUUUUUCAGACCUGAGAUGGUCCAUUAUUCAUGUUUAACUCAAAUGAUGGGUAACAUUUUUUAUUCUAAUUAUAGAAUCAUAAAAUUUCAGAGCUGAUAAGGAUACUGGAGGCUGCCUCAUCCAGUCUUGUGCUACUCUAAUAGGAGAAAAUGAAAACUAAGGAAAAGAAGGAUAACUCGCUUUCUUCAGAGCACGCAUGUGGUUAGUGGCGGGGUUGGUUCUAGAAAUCAGGUUUCCCAACAUCCAGUCGAGUAAUUCCGGUAACUGAUGUAUGAGAAC